GACGAAUGCUGGCGGCGUGCUUAACACAUGCAAGUCGAACGGUGAAGGGGAGCUUGCUCCCUGGAUCAGUGGCGAACGGGUGAGUAACACGUGGGCAACCUGCCCCUCACUUCGGGAUAACCAUUCGAAAGGAUGGCUAAUACCGGAUAUGAGCCCUGGAGACAUCUCCUGGGUUGGAAAGUUUUUCGGUGAGGGAUGGGCCCGCGGCCUAUCAGCUUGUUGGUGAGGUAACGGCUCACCAACGCGAAGACGGGUAGCCGGCCUGAGAGGGCGACCGGCCACACUGGGACUGAGACACGGCCCAGACUCCUACGGGAGGCAGCAGUGGGGAAUAUUGCACAAUGGGCGCAAGCCUGAUGCAGCGACGCCGCGUGAGGGAUGAAGGCCUUCGGGUUGUAAACCUCUUUCAGUAGGGACGAAGCGCAAGUGACGGUACCUAAAGAAGAAGCACCGGCUAACUACGUGCCAGCCGCCGCGGUAA
rnacentral:rRNA from 1 species